rnacentral:snRNA from 2 species
AUAUCAUCCUCAGCCUUUUUGGCUGUGGCCUUGUUUAGUUCCCCCAAAAAUUUUAAGUCUCAUACUCUUGUGGGCCAUGUGUCCACUUUGGUAUGAUGAAAAUUAUUUUUUGUGGGGGAGGGCCCGUAACAGUAGCAUCGCUACUGUGGGCUCUCAAGUGUCGCUUGGGCGUUGCACUACUGCCCAAGCCUGGCACACCCAAC